GUGUUCACUUUGGCAGCACAUAUACCAAAACUGGAAGGGUACAGAGAGAUGUUUAGCAUGGCCCCUGAACAAGGAUGACACGCAAAUCCAUGAAGCCUAUAAAUAGGGA